rnacentral:lncRNA from 1 species
AAGCAAGAGCAAUUUGAUGCUUUAUUCCAAUUCAUUCUCGCCUUCAACUCUGUCACUUCUUUCUACUACUAAAGAUAUAGGGUCAUGUUAAUUAUGAUGAUAUGGGAUUGAGUGGCCUUAGAAAUGGGAUAGAAAGGGAAUAGCUCACUGCCAUUUGCAUCUUUUGAUCGCUUGUUGCUGCAUUUUUAGCAGCUACUGUCCUUUCCUUGUCUUUGUUAUUUUGGUAUUUGUUCUAUUCUAACCCCUCUUUCUUAUUUCAUAGGUUGGUCUACGAAUAAAAAUGGGUUGGAGCUCUCUAUCUUUUGGGCAUGGACGAUUGAAAGUUUGAAGAUAUAGUUUUAGGUUUUGGCUAAGGGGCAUGUAAACUUUAUAAAUGCUUUUGACCUAAUUCAAUUACAAUUAUUAGAUUGUUUGACACAUUAGCAACCAUUUUCUACUUCUAUAUUUUUUAUAACUGCAUGAUGUCGUGCAAAUUUUAUUCAUAUAUUUUAUGUGACUCUAUUCAUUCGUAGGUUAUUGUGGUUGCAUUGUGCCAGAAAGACUUUAAAUAUCUCUAAUUAUAUGGCUUAUAUU